rnacentral:rRNA from 1 species
UGGGGAAUAUUGGACAAUGGGCGAAAGCCUGAUCCAGCCAUGCCGCGUGUGUGAAGAAGGUCUUCGGAUUGUAAAGCACUUUAAGUUGGGAGGAAGGGCAGUAAGCGAAUACCUUGCUGUUUUGACGUUACCGACAGAAUAAGCACCGGCUAACUCUGUGCCAGCAGCCGCGGUAAUACAGAGGGUGCAAGCGUUAAUCGGAAUUACUGGGCGUAAAGCGCGCGUAGGUGGUUCGUUAAGUUGAAUGUGAAAGCCCCGGGCUCAACCUGGGAACUGCAUCCAAAACUGGCGAGCUAGAGUAGGGCAGAGGGUGGUGGAAUGUCCUGUGUAGCGGUGAAAUGCGUAGAUAUAGGAAGGAACACCAGUGGCGAAGGCGACCACCUGGGCUCAGACUGACACUGAGGUGCGAAAGCGUGGGGAGCAAACAGG